CUGCCAAGAGAUUCUCCAGUGGUAAGACCGUCCAAUCUCUCUAUCUCUUUCAACAAUAAUGAAAAGUAUGUCCAUCCGGGAUAUGAAUAUGAAUUCAUCUUAACGUGUAGUGCUGUACCUUAAGUUCCCAUAAUGCUUUAGCUUUUGGGACACAGAAAAAAAAAACUAUAUCCCUGCACUAACAUCAGAAUUUUGCACUAGCUACUUGCCUUGUUAGUCCAUUUGGUACUUUGUAAAUAAUGUCAUGCCCACCCAAUUCAGAUGGACACACUUGUAAAAUGUUAAUAAUAAGAAACACAACACAGGAUGCUACAUCCCAGACUUUAUUUUGCUCAUUGUCAUCCCAAGGCUUGCGCGAACAAGUAGCUUGGUCCUCCUGCCUAUAUUGUGCCGGCACCAACCUGCCUGUAGGUGUUGGUGCUGAGGCUGAAUGAAAACAAGGGAUUCAGAGUCCCAGGUGUUGCCGUUCGCUGCGGGAAAGGUAAGUGAAUCGAAAAUUCAGCACAUGAAUGGAAGCUUCAGAUAAGGAAUGCACCAAUGGCAUCAGUAAUAGAAAGGACCUGCACACGGAGGUGUCUUCUUUGGAAAUGCCUUGGGAGAUCACUUGGCCAGCAUUGCCAAGCAACAAGGUGGACUUCUGUUAUUUCCGUUGCUAGCUGCUGCAAAUAGUCUCAUCACCGCCACCUGCAGAAAUCAACAGAUCAUAAGUCUCUUUUUGCAAACACAACAUCCAUAUAUGGAUAAAUACUUGUGACCAGCUAGAGUUGUACACUUCACAUGGACUAGCAGUGUAAAUUAAGUACAAGCAUGUAUCACGAUGGUUAAUCAGGCGAAAAUGCUCGUAAAAUGGGCGAGGACACAAGACAAGUAGACAUAUAGGCUUCAGGCCACUGACCAUACCAUGGACACACGAUUCAGUACAUGAAUGCUCUAGGCCCAUGUACAGGAAACAUUAUGUAAAGUCUGACGAACAUAUAGGUUAUAUAAUGGUUGAAAGAAACGAUUUAGGAAGGCUCAAAUGGUGAUUGAAAUGAGUUUGUGUCGAUACUCACUUUUUUGAAGCUGUGGCCAAAUCGAAAAUCCUCUUUGGCUUGAAUUUUGGAGGAUUUUUCCUUCUUUGCAAAUAGAACGCUUUUUCAUUUUACUACAAAAUGACUGAGUCAACACCACACUUUACCCUCUAUGAACACAUGGUUGGUCCCUCCUCCUUUUUCCGGGCUUGGGACCGGCUAUGCAAUUAUAAGUGUUAUCUUAAAAUGGCAUAGGCGGAGUUCCACCCCCCAUCCCCGACCCACAUAAACACACAAAAAAAGAGAAGAGUAUGUAAGAAAAAAAUAGCUAACGCCUGCAGCCCCAUCCUCCACCCCAAAAAAGGAGAAAUAAAACAAAGUCAAACACACAUUUUUUUGUCUGGGACUAAAGGCUUUGUUGUACACUUUUUUUUUGUUUAUCAAAGACUAAGAAAAGGCAAUGCAUUAUACGAACGCUUCUUUUUCCAUUUUACAACUUUUCUUGGAUUUUCAAACACAUUGAUUCAAGGAACAAACCACUAACGCUACAAUGCAAGAAAAUGACUUUUUUUAAUUUCUUCUGUAUUGCUGAAAAAACAAAUAACCAUUUGUUUGCCUCUCUUCCGUAGAUGAAUUAAGCCCAUCAGUACUUCCUUUCAACUGGUAACAAGAUUGUAGAAGGCAUCAAAGUACCACCAUCCUGUAAAUAAAAGGCCUGAAAAAAAUAUUAAGACUGGUUUAGUAAAUAGCUAAGCAAGACAUAUGCAUCACUAUGAGUGUAUAUGAACCAUGAGCCCUUUAGAUGGAUAUUUUUUGGAAACCAAUGGAAUAUAGGUUUCAGUUCGAUGCAGUACGGAUCUUAAAUUGGGAAUUGUAAAACUAUAGAGGAUUAAAAACAAUCUGGCAUUAAUAGUUUGGUUUUGUUAAACGUAACAAGAAUAAUGAAGUGGCAGUCUCGUCAUGCAAAAGAUACUGGAAUAUUGUGCAUGUGGGUUGAAACGGAAAAGAGAAACUGAUGUGUAUACAUAUGCAUAGUUAAACUUAAUGGCAGGCACAAUCAAGGAACCGUGGAUGCACUUGCCUGUUUGGCCUCAAUGCCAUAUUCCAUUAUUGCGAUGGAGUUUGGAUGUGCUUCUAUAGCUUGUUUCACCUGAUUUGGUAGCCUGACCGCACCACUGAACACCAUUUCUUCAACUUGGGAAGGUUGUUGAUUCCUGAGAGAGACUCUAUCACAUCGAUGAGCCAGACGAUCUUUUCAAGCUUAGGAACUUCUCCUUGUUCGAAGUUGAUGUCUGUGAUGCCACCCCCCUCAAUAGUAAGAUAUUUGAGAUUUUGGAACCCAUUGGUCUGGAUUAUAAGCUUGCCCUCAGUGUGUAAAUUAAUGUGCCGGAGCCUGAGGCCGCGUAGGUUGGGCAAAUGUGCGAGGGAUUCCAUAUCAUCCUGGUCCAAGAAGGUGUUAUGAAGAGUUACCUUGGCAAGUUUGUGGCAGCCUCUGGUGAACAAUGGGUGAAGACGCCCAUACUUUGUGACUCCACUGAUGCUCAGGCUUUCAAGAAGCUUGGGUGUGUUCUUACAGUGUGCGCUCAUAGCAUUGGUUGCAGGUACGUCAGGAGGAGUAGCACCCUGGCUGGCAGGCGGAGGCCUGAUCUCGAUGGACAAUGACUUAAGGCACUCAUUCAGAUUGCUGAUCCCUUGGAGUAAGUUCUCAAGUUGAGGUUUCCAAUCAUAAAUGACCACACCAAGCACCCUCAGCUGCCAUAGCUGGCCAAUCUCUCUCAGCUCUGUAGCAUGAUGUUUUGAAGCCUCUACAUGGGACAGCACUUCCAGGUCUGUCAUUUUUCUGACCUUGUGAGGCAUCUGGACAGUGGAAAGUAUGCUAGCAUCAUCAGUGUGACCAGCCAGCAGACGCUUCAGCUUCAGCAGCAUGAGGUGUUUUAUGGCGGAGGCAUUUAUUGGAGUGUCCCGGAUGUCCAACACCUCCAGCUGCUGGAGCAUGUUGAUCUCCUUGGGCAGCUGAGUGACAUCUGUGUUCCUUAGGCUCAGAUACUUGAGCAGUAUUAACGAGGUGCAGAUGUUCUUGAGCCAGCGUUGGUUAUCUCCCAGGGAUGCACAUCCUUCCAGAUCCAGGACCUUGACGAGCUUCAACUGAGAUGAUGCACGGGAUGGUUGCUUCAAGAAGUCGAGGAUGCUAUCUGAGGGACGGAGCCUGAUGUUGCUGAGAAUGGAGAAGUGGCGAGCCAGGUGCCGAGACAGGCGUGUGUCCAGAAUGUGUACUUUCCUGGCCAUCAUGGUGAUGAAGUUGUACACUUGUUGAUGCACUGUAAUGCUCUUGACCUUCCCUGCAGCACCAACAUCACAAGGACAAACAAGCCAUAGAUCGGCAAGUACCUCCAAACAAUGCUCAGCCUGGCUUACUGAACUGGACCAGUCUUGUCUAGUUAUCAGUCCUUCCGCAACCCACCGCCCAAUUAACCUUGUACGGUUUAUCUUCUCACCUUCAUGGAAGAUGGCUAGAUAUAGCAAACAUGUCUUGUAUUCCCUAGGCAGAUCGCUGUAGGAGAACUUGAUCAUCUUGUAGCCAUUCGUACUAGUUUUCGCAGAACCUCCAAACACGAGGCUGUUGCUCAGCUUGCCCAGUUCUUCUCUGCUCCUCAUUGGAUUGGCAAAUAGAGCAUGGAUGAACAUAUUCAGGCUGAACUCAUCCACCCUACAUUUCUCCAAGAUCUCAUGGAAGAUUUCAGCACUGUACUUCUCGUCGUCAUUCACACGCCGAUUUGUAAGUUGGAGCGCUGUUUUGUGGUAGUAUUCAAUAGAAGAGUACACGAUGGGUUCCGUCCCAUAGCAGAAGUCCUUGGAGCCCUGCAUGUAUUUUGUGGUAACUAUCACUGCCAUUGAACUGCAACCCAAAUUUUGCAAGGCCUCUGCGGUCUCAUCCCAUUUGUAGCCAGAGGCAUCGUGGAGAAUGACCAGCGUCCUUGUAUCCUUCAGAUACUCUCUAACCCUCCCCACGGUUUCUUGAAUCAACAGAUGCUCUUUGAUCUUCUCUAGGACUUGUUCAAUCCUCUUCCUGCAGUCCUCCUCGCCCCAUGGCAGCGACAGGUGGUCUUGGCCUGAUUCUUCCACUGAUUUAUCUUGCUGGUGAAGUGACACUGGCAGGAGCUCCGGCGUGAUAUGCACUUGAAUUUUCAGCGUGAUGUCUUUAAUAUUCUUCACGAUAUAAUCCUCGCCAGCCAGUUUAUUUGUGGCUGCCUUUGCCAGUGUGGUGGCCUGAUUCGGAAGCAGCUCCUGCAGGAUGGCUAUGUAUUGGGAAUGCUCAACGCCGAUCCUGCAGGAAUCCAUUGCACCCCCUGAUUCAAGAUAGUUUUUCAUCUUAUCCGCUGUCUCGUUAAGGAUCUGUUCCUCGGUUUGAUUUGGAUCCUCACCAGCAGUGGCGUCCUGGAGCAGCACCCGCAAGAUGCCACAGAGUACUCCUAAGGGUUCAACCCGGUAACCUUUAUUACCAGCUUUUUCCAGGUACUCUUCGAUCUUCUCCUCGAUCUUCCCAAUCUUCUCGUUGACUUCUUCCUCGCCAAAUUCUUCCACCGAUUCGUCGGCUUCCCCUUCCAGCUCCUUCAGGAUGUCACCAAGAAAAUCCCAGGGUUCUUGCAGGCAAGUGUAAGACGCCUUCUCCCCCGCAGUAGGUGUUGCUGCUUCAAAAAUAAACAUCUUCUCGUUUAAAAAGAAGAUGUGGUCGAACUUUUCCUUGAUGGAAUUAUGAAGCAAUGCUUGAUUAAUAAUAUCCCUUCCAUCCUCUUCAUCUGGUGCUGCAAUGGCGAUGGCUUUGAAUGGGUCACCCAUGUGUUGGUGUUUGAGCCAGUGCAUUAGCUCUUUGGUGCACUUGAAAACAAUGCGAGGCUCGGAAAAGGCUUGCUCCCUUCGUGGAUCAUCACUUGUCGCCCAGUAGUAGUCUUCUUCCAAGUCAUAGUCUCCUUCAGCUACAAUCCCCGCAGCAGCAGCUUGAAAUGACGGUGAUGACUCCGCCGCUGCCUCCGGCAGCACCAGCUUAUCGGAGUCUGCCUUGGCCGGGCCCUCAACACCGUACCUCAGCCUCCGCUCGCCAACGUCACGCGCCCGGGCCUUGAGGUCUCUCAGCUGGGUGGCUGCAAGGUGCUGAGCGACUGUCUUCUUGAUGAACCAAGGCACCCACCACACGUAGCCCAGCAGGAUUCCUCUGGCGCGAUAGACUGCCGGAUCACCGCGCUGUAGGUAGACGUCGAUGCAGUUGCUGCAGUCGUGAGCAAGGUCACGGACCUGCUUCAUCCACGUGCGGACCUGCACAUCGUGCUCUCCGUUGCGGGGUGUCUUCCUGGCGAGGUGCAGGAGGAAGCUGUUCAUGCUCUCCAUCUCCUCUUUUAUGAACUGCACAUCACCACCGACACCCCCCAGCAGCUUAGCCUCGUCGCGGAUGACGCCCAACAGCGAGCGGACAGCAACCCCGGCGAGCUCAGCCAUGGCUGGAACUCGAUCGGUCUCCACUGGUGUGGCGCUGGUUUAGCUUAGCAUGCGAAUGAGCGUGCGUGUAUGUGAAUUCUGACCUUGUGGGUAUCGUACCUAGCCUGAUACAGGCGAUGAGACACAAUAGGAAUUUUAUGAUGUGGUGGACAAACAAUGGAGUAUCUAUCUAUACCAGUCUAUUUUCUACAGCAACAUCUAGAAGAUGACAACGGAUGGUCGAGACCUCAUAUAGUUUUAAUCAAGUCAAGUCAAUUUAAUUAGCAUAGUCUUCGGGGUGGUAGUGCAGCACAUGCUUGCAUGCGAGGAGCUGUUGCAUGUGCUUGAUCGGUGCCAUUUGAUUGCAAUUGGUGGAGCCAUAUGAUAUGUACGUUCCUACUUUGGAUAUAUAUAACCCCUGAUCCUUAAUUUGUGUGAGGUCGUGUAUUGCGUGCAUGCAUUUCAAUCAAGCCUUCGUGUCAUUUUGGUAAUUAUCGGCCUUUGUGUUGAUGAAUCAAAUUACUUCUUAUAUUUGGUAAUUAUCGGCCUUUUGCAAAAUUACUUCUGUUUAUAUAAAAUGCACAGCUAGUGAAAUGGUAAUUUACUCGCUGCAAAGAAUUGUGCUUACUACGAAAUAGGGUGCAUUAUCUAAAAGAAUGCUAAAACUAGCUAGUUUUUGAAGGACGACUUUCAGGGCUCAUAUAAUUGGCGGGAUACAUCACCUUUUUAAAAUGCUCAUGUCUGAUGCCAACCCUGCUUUUUUUAAGGGAGUACCUAGAACUCAUCUAGAUGAGAUAUAAUUUGGUCUCAUUCACUUUGAAAACAAGAAUAGAUACAACCCACGUCAGCACACACGCAUCUUAUAGCAUCACAUCCAAUGGCUAUAAAAAGUGAAUGAGACCAAAUUAUAUCUCAUCUAGAUGAGUUCUAGCAAAACUGUUUUUUUAAACCUGAAAAAUCUUUACAGUUUUUUUUUUGCUUAGUCCAUCCACCUAUACAGUUAAUCUUGUUGAUCAGGAGUUGCACAUUGUGUAUUAAUUAGUGUCGAUUUAAGAGGGGCCAGAUGGCACAUCACAUGGGAGGAAAUACGCUGGCCGAGGAGCUACCGUAGUGAAUAAUAUCAACUUGAUCUAUAUACUGCUUAUGAUUGACCUACCUACUGCUUAGAGUUGACAUUCGGUGGAAGAUAUGAUCUGCUUAGAGUUGACAUUCGGUGGAAGAUAUGAUUAACGGAGCUGGAUUCGUUCUUUAUUCUAGUGGUCACAGAGCAAUUUUGUACGCAAGAGUGAUUAAGUCAUUAUUUCUUGAAGAAAUUAUGAUGGCUACUAAAGGGUAUAACACAACUAGUGGUGUUAGCAUUCUUUUAGGCAAUGCACCCUAUUUCAAAAUCGUAAACCUUGGUCAGACCUCGAUCCACCAAUUGAGUGAUAUUCUAGGCAUCUCAAGUCAUCAAGUCAUCUUAGUUUUAAUCCAUUCUGACCUAAUUGUAUACAUUUGUGUUCAAAGACUUCUUGUGCACACAAACUGUACCACAGAAUUUUCUUGUCCCGUAAAUUUACAGGUCAAAUUCUACGUACUUCACAUGGACGGCUUUGGGUUCCCCUGGGGAAAACCAAGGACAAAGCAGCGUCGGUGGAAGCGUUAAGGGAGCUUAAAGAUAUUCAUGCCGACGGUUGAUACUGCUAAUUAGGCUCCGGUAUGUGGUUGCGCAAGUCCGCGUGCUCGUCGUUUGACCAUGUGUCGUGAACUGCUAUGCCCAUCAUUGCUCUCUUUUGUACUCCCUCCGUUUUUAUUUACUCCGCAUAUUAGCUUUGGUCAAAGUCAAGCUUUGUAAACUUUGACAAAAUUUAUAGACAAAAAUAUUAACAUGUAUAAUAACAAAACAUUAUCAUUAGAUUCAUUAUUGAAUGUACUUUCGCAUCAUAUAGAUUUGUUAUGGUAAAUAUUUAUAUUCUUU
rnacentral:lncRNA from 1 species